rnacentral:rRNA from 1 species
GGAGUCCUACGGGGGGCAGCAGUGAGGAAUAUUGGUCAAUGGGAGAGAUCCUGAACCAGCCAAGCCGCGUGAGGGAAGACGGCCCUAUGGGUUGUAAACCUCUUUUGAAGGAGAACAAAACCCGGGACGUGUCCCGGACUGAGUGUAUCCGAAGGAAAAGCAUCGGCUAACUCCGUGCCAGCAGCCGCGGUAAUACGGAGGAGGCGAGCGUUAUCCGGAUUUAUUGGGUUUAAAGGGAGCGUAGGCGGUC